GAUAGAAUUUUAGUACUGUAAACAGGCUUU
rnacentral:piRNA from 1 species